CCCUUAGAUGCUCUGGGCCGCACGCGCGCUACACUGGUCGAUGCAACGAGUUUCUUUCCUUGGCCGACAGGCCUGGGCAAUCUUUGAACAUCGAUCGUGAUCGGGAUAGAUUCUUGUAAUUUUUGAUCUUAAACGAGGAAUUCCUAGUAAACGCAAGUCAUCAGCUUGCGUUGAUUACGUCCCUGCCCUUUGUACACACCGCCCGUCGCACCUACCGAUUGAAUGGUCCGGUGAAAUCUCCGGACUGGCGUGAGUCGGAGCAAUCUGACAAACGCCGGAAAGUUGAUUAAACCUUACCAUUUAGAGGAAGGUGAAGUCGUAACA
rnacentral:rRNA from 1 species